rnacentral:rRNA from 1 species
UACGUAGGUGACAAGCGUUGUCCGGAUUUACUGGGCGUAAAGAGCGCGCAGGCGGUCGUUCAAGUCGAGUGUGAAAGCCCCCGGCUCAACUGGGGAGGGUCACUCGAUACUGAUCGACUCGAAGGCAGGAGAGGGAAGUGGAAUUCCCGGUGUAGUGGUGAAAUGCGUAGAUAUUGGGAGGAACACCAGUGGCGAAGGCGGCUCACUGGACCGGUUCUGACGCUGAGGCGCGAAAGCGUGGGGAGCAAACGGG